CUUCACCGAGCCGAGCCACUGCGGCCGGUCCUCCGGGCGGUCCUUGCCGUACGUCGCGAUCAGCGCGUCGGCCUC
rfam:Streptomyces sp. Termitarium-T10T-6 genome assembly, contig: Ga0115253_10866